rnacentral:rRNA from 1 species
UACGAAGGGGGCUAGCGUUGUUCGGAAUUACUGGGCGUAAAGGGCGUGUAGGCGGUAUGUUAAGUCUGGCGUGAAAGCUCUCGGCUAAACCGGGAGAGGUCGUUGGAUACUGGCAAACUAGAGGAUGGUAGAGGCGUGUGGAAUUCCGGGUGUAGUGGUGAAAUGCGUAGAGAUCCGGAGGAACACCAGUGGCGAAGGCGACACGCUGGGCCAUACCUGACGCUAAAGCGCGACAGCAUGGGGAGCAAACGGG